rfam:Clostridium tetani E88, complete genome.
CUCUUAUCGAGAGAGGUGGAGGGAAAGGGCCCUAUGAAACCCGGCAACCAAUAUUUUUAGAAGUAUUAAGGUGCCAAUUCCUGCAGAAAGUUCUGCAAGAUAAGAG